CCCUUAGAUGUUCUGGGCUGCACGCGCGCUACACUGAUGCGCUCAACGAGUUUAUAACCUUGUCCGGCAGGAUUGGGUAAUCUUCUUAAAACGCAUCGUGAUGGGGAUAGAUUAUUGCAAUUAUUAAUCUUCAACGAGGAAUUCCUAGUAAGCGCGAGUCAUCAGCUCGUGCUGAUUACGUCCCUGCCCUUUGUACACACCGCCCGUCGCUACUACCGAUCGGAUGGUUUAGUGAGACCCUCGGACUGGUCCCGUCGAAGCAGGCGACUGCCUCGACGCGCGCGCCGGGAAGAAGGUCGAACUUGACUAUCUAGAGGAAGUAAAAGUCGUAACA
rnacentral:rRNA from 1 species